rnacentral:rRNA from 1 species
UACGUAGGGUGCGAGCGUUACUCGGAAUUACUGGGCGUAAAGCGUGCGCAGGCGGUUCUAUAAGACAGAUGUGAAAUCCCCGGGCUCAACCUGGGAACUGCAUUUGUGACUGUAGAGCUGGAGUACGGUAGAGGGGGAUGGAAUUCCGCGUGUAGCAGUGAAAUGCGUAGAUAUGCGGAGGAACACCGAUGGCGAAGGCAAUCCCCUGGACCUGUACUGACGCUCAUGCACGAAAGCGUGGGGAGCAAACAGG